rnacentral:tRNA from 1 species
GGACCCGUAGCUCAGCGGUAGAGCAUCUGAUUCCAGCUUUACCGGCUUGGAAACAGCAUCCAGAAGGUCAUCCGUUCAAAUCGGGUCGGGUUCA